UGUCCAGGGAAGAAACACACACCUGGCCCCGAGCGGGCUUUGCCACUGUCGGGCGCGGGGAGCGAGGGAGCGCCCAGGGGGCGCCGAGUACGUGCCCGCGCGUGGGGGUGGGGGGCCCCCUCCCGCCCGCCGGUUACUAAGCGACCGCCCCGCCGCCACCAGCCGCAGCGCCGGAAACGCUCGCAUCCUCCGUCGAAACCCGAGCUGGAGGUGACCCAGGCCAGUCGGGACGCCCCUCCGGGUCCCCUAGACCCAGCCCGACCCCACCUACCUCCCCACCCGACCGGACCUAGCCGCCGAGACCGCGGGCGGAAAGCCACCCCCUUAGGGGAGGCGGGCAGGGGCCCGCUGUGAAGAGAAGGGGAAGAAAGGGACGCGCGACCCGGGCCCGACCCGACCUGACCUGACCCACCCUGCAGGAGACGGAUCUGCCGCCGUAAUUGCUCCUUUUCCUCCAUCUCCAGAGUCCGCGACGCCCGGCCAGGCCCCCGCGACGUCAUCGCCGCGCGACCGUUUCCCCGCGGGCUGGGCGGAGCGCGGGGAGGUGCCGAGACUGCGCACUGAGGCAAGGCCUGGGCGACUGCCGGGCCGCGGGGAGGGGGAGCAGAAGAGAUGAGCCCGUCGCCCUGGCAACGGCUGGAGAGGCGGGGUCACGCAUGCGCAGAGCUGGGGGGGUCGCGUCACUACGGAGCGCCGGGAAGUGGACUCACCGCUCGUGUGAAGGGGCGCUGCGGUAGGUGGUCGCCGCCCUGGAGCGCUCUGGCCGCGUUCUUCGCCAAGAACUCUCGUUCCUUGCGGGACUGGGCGAGGGCCGAAUUCCAGACCCCACCCCAGCGGCGACCUGGUAGGAUGAGGGCCCAAGAGACUCUAUUGUUGCGCGGGCCAGGACAGGAGAAGAAACGUCCAAGAUCGAAGAGGCCCUACAGAGACGUGUUAAACCUCUGAAAACUUGAAAGAUUUUGGUGUAUCAGUGGAAACAAGUAUAAAACCAGGUGAGGAUGCAGCCCACAGCCUCUUAGGUCAGCACCUGAACCCACCUUACGGAGUCAAUGUUACUCCACUCAACAUACAGCAGUGGGCACCCUGGGAUUUCUUUGGCGGAGGUGGCCCCAGGCUAGGAAGACCAGACAAUAGAAUGGCCCCUGCACUCAGGCUGUGAGAUGGGGUGAGCCACAGGUCGUGCCCCACCAGCUGAACACUGUGUAAGACCCUUAGGCCUUGGCCGAACUCUGAGGGCAGGGUAGGGGAGUUCUCGUGGAAUGACGGAAUUUCCCACCAGGGAUCUUGAAAAGCACUUCUUUGGACUUGCCCUGUCUUGCUUCUCUUGAGAAUCCUGCAGCCAUCACCUUAUGAAUGAGCCAGGGCUGGCCUGAUGGAGGAUGGACAACACAUGCCAAGUUAAUACCACUGACCCUCUUGACAGCCAGCCGUCUGCCAAACAAUGAGGCCAGUGGUUGCCAGCUAGCCACAAAAUCGAUGAACCCAGGUGAUACCAUGUGGAGCAGAGAUGAGCCUAAAUGUCAUAAUUUAGGGCACCUCACGGGAUUAUGAGCAAACCAGGGGAUGUUUGUGUCACUAGGUUUUGGGGUGAUUUAUUAGCACACACUGACGGAUUCAUGGGUCUAGCGCUGAACUUGUCUUCUGUGCCCGACAAGCUCUCUGCUCCUGGACUUCAGUCCUGGGGUGGUGGAGCGGAGAGCCCAGCCACUUGCUGAGAGGAGGCAAGGUUUGUGGGUUUGUCUCCUGGAGUUGUGAAAGUGUAAGUGGGAUGUAAGUGCUGUCACGAUUAACUCCUUAAAACUGACCUUGACAGUUACACUUAAAACUCUGAUGCCCAUCAAGCUGGCACCGAUUAAAGCAGCCUGCCUUCAGUGUUCGGGGCGAGGGCAAGAGACUCCACUGUUCACUUUUUGGAUGUUGGCACAGCCUUUCUGAAGGGCAAUUUGCAACACGUGCCAAGACCCUGAAUACCGUGUGAGGAAUUUCACUUUUCAGAAUCCCCCCAAAAGAGAUAAUGAAACACGUGCAAGGCCUUAUGAACAAAAAUAUCAGGUGCUGGGGGGAAAGGGAUGGGGAGGGAUAAAUUAGGAGUUUGGGAUUAGCAGAUACAAACUACUGUAUAUAAAAUAGAUAGCAAGGUCUUACUGUAUAGCACAGGGAACUGUAUUCAAUAUCCUGUAAAAAACCAUAAUGGGAAGGAAUAUGAAAAUACCUAUGCAUGUAUAACUGAAUCACUUUGCUGUAUACCAAAAACUAAUAGAACAUUAUAGAUCAACUAUACGUCAAUAAAAAUUAAAAAUUUUAAA